rnacentral:rRNA from 1 species
AGCGAACGCUGGCGGCAGGCUUAACACAUGCAAGUCGAACGGGCGUAGCAAUACGUCAGUGGCAGACGGGUGAGUAACGCGUGGGAACAUACCUCUUGGUUCGGAACAACACAGGGAAACUUGUGCUAAUACCGGAUAAGCCCUUACGGGGAAAGAUUUAUCGCCGAGAGAUUGGCCCGCGUCUGAUUAGCUAGUUGGUGGGGUAAAGGCCUACCAAGGCGACGAUCAGUAGCUGGUCUGAGAGGAUGAUCAGCCACAUUGGGACUGAGACACGGCCCAAAACUCCUACGGGAGGCAGCAGUGGGGAAUAUUGGACAAUGGGCGCAAGCCUGAUCCAGCCAUGCCGCGUGAGUGAUGAA